rnacentral:rRNA from 1 species
ACAACUUUCAACAACGGAUCUCUUGGCUCUUGCAUCGAUGAAGAACGUAGCGAAUUACGAUAUGUAAUGUGAAUUGCGGAAUUCAGUGAAUCAUCGAAUCUUUGAACGCACCUUGCGCUCUUUGGUACUCCGAAGAGCAUGCCUGUUUGAGUGUCAU